UACGGAGGGUGCAAGCGUUAUCCGGAUUCACUGGGUUUAAAGGGUGCGUAGGCGGGCAGGUAAGUCCGUGGUGAAAUCUCUGAGCUUAACUCAGAAACUGCCAUGGAUACUAUUUGUCUUGAAUAUUGUGGAGGCAAGCGGAAUAUGUCAUGUAGCGGUGAAAUGCUUAGAUAUGACAUAGAACACCCCAUUGCGAAGGCAGCUUGCUACACAAUGAUUGACGCUGAGGCACGAAAGCGUGGGGAUCAAACAGG
rnacentral:rRNA from 1 species